CAAACUAUUCCCCGUAUCUCAUCUACGCUCCAUAUAUCUACCCAUAUUUAGGGUUUUUAUUUGAUUCGAUUUCAGCGUUGCAACUAUUUUUGAAAAUAACAUAAUAGAGUCCGAUUACAUAUAAUUAUUUUCCAAUGACCUUCUUUCUUAUUGUCGCAACGAAGCUUCAAACGAUAUUAACUACACAUCUACGACGAAAAUACAUUGGGUUUUGAAAACACUGUCUUUUUAAACAUGCAAUCUUUGGAAGUGGAUAUUGGUGUUGCAAAUAAAGUUGACUCAUUUUAUAGAUUAAGCCAUGAACCUUAAGGAGUCUGUCCAAUAUUUAUAGGCUAAAAUCAAUGAAUUAAAGGUGUAACUAUGCAGACAUUCUUCUAGAAAUGGGUAGGAUUUUAGGACCUGAAGGUACUGUAAUAUCAGUGAUGGUGAGAUUGAAGUGAUUAAGGUGAAAAAGAUUAUUUCUGGAAUAACAUGGCACAAAAAAAUUAUGAUCAUGAAAAUGGUCCACUUAUUUCAUAAAAGAUGUUAUUUGCAGUCAAACAAUAUUAGGUUGCAGGUGAAAAUAACUCACCUUCCUCUAGAUGAAAAUAAUGAUUUUUGUUUUAAGGUUUUUGAGAAAGUAAUGAAUAUUAUUGGAGUGGUGGUCAACAAUGAUUAUCAGUUGACUUUCACAUAGUAGGGAUUUAAAUUUAGGCUGAAACACCAUGUUUUUUUUGGUAUUCACAUUACAUAUUUUGUUUAUCUAUUUUCUUAAUUUGGUCUUCAAAGCUAACAUAAUGUAAUAGUGUAAACAACAAUUUUUGAUGCUAUUUAUUUAUGGGUAGUUUUACAUUUAUCUCA